rnacentral:rRNA from 1 species
UGGGGAAUAUUGCACAAUGGGCGAAAGCCUGAUGCAGCGACGCCGCGUGAGGGAUGACGGCCUUCGGGUUGUAAACCUCUUUCAGCAGGGAAGAAGCGAAAGUGACGGUACCUGCAGAAGAAGCGCCGGCUAACUACGUGCCAGCAGCCGCGGUAAUACGUAGGGCGCAAGCGUUGUCCGGAAUUAUUGGGCGUAAAGAGCUCGUAGGCGGUUAGUCGCGUCUGCUGUGAAAACUCGAGGCUCAACCUCGGGCUUGCAGUGGGUACGGGCUGACUAGAGUCUCGUAGAGGGGGUGAGAAUGAUCCAGGUGUAGCGGUGAAAUGCGUAGAGAUCUGGAGGAAUA